rnacentral:rRNA from 1 species
GACGAACGCUGGCGGCGUGCUUAACACAUGCAAGUCGAACGGUGAAGCGCCUUCCUUUUUGGUGGGUGUGGAUGAGUGGCGAACGGGUGAGUAACACGUGAGUAACCUGCCCCCUUCUUCUGGAUAACCGCAUGAAAGUGUGGCUAAUACGGGAUAUUCUGGGUCUGUCGCAUGAUGGGUCUGGGAAAGAUAUUGUUUCGGUGGGGGAUGGGCUCGCGGCCUAUCAGCUUGUUGGUGGGGUGAUGGCCUACCAAGGCGGUGACGGGUAGCCGGCCUGAGAGGGUGGACGGUCACACUGGGACUGAGACACGGCCCAGACUCCUACGGGAGGCAGCAGUGGGGAAUAGUGCACAAUGGGCGCAAGGCUGAUGCAGCGACGCCGCGUGAGGGAUGGAGGCCUUCGGGUUGUGAACCUCUUUCGCCAGUGAAGCAGGCCUGCCUCGUUUGUGGGUGGGUUGACGGUAGCUGGAUAAGAAGCGCCGGCUAACUACGUG